rnacentral:rRNA from 1 species
AGAACGAACGCUGGCGGCGUGGAUAAGACAUGCAAGUCGAACGGGAUCAGAUCUGUAGCAAUACAGGCCUGGUUCAGUGGCGAACGGGUGCGUAACACGUGAACAAUCUGCCGGAAAGUGGGGGAUAGCUCGCCGAAAGGCGAAUUAAUACCGCAUAUGGCCAGGGGUGGCAACAUCCCGAGCCAAAAGCCGCAAGGCGCUUUCUGAUGAGUUCGCGGCCUAUCAGCUUGUUGGUGAGGUAACGGCUCACCAAGGCUAUGACGGGUAGCUGGUCUGAGAGGACGACAGCCACACUGAACUGAGACACGGUCCAGACACCUACGGGUGGCAGCAGUCGAGAAUUUUUCACAA